UUAUAGUAAAGGAAUGGGGAGACCUGACGCUGAAAGAUGGACUCGCGUCCCAUUAGCUAGUUGGUAGGGUAAUGGCCUACCAAGGCGACGAUGGGUAGCCGGCCUGAGAGGGUGGCCGGCCACACUGGGACUGAGACACGGCCCAGACUCCUACGGAAGGCAGCAG
rnacentral:rRNA from 1 species